CUUUUGGUUUGGAAAAUUCAGUUCCUUUGCCUCUCAUUAGCCUUCCUAUGCUGUCGGGAGGGCCAUUGAACUGCGGCCAUCUUCCACAUGCAUGUACCAUUUGCAGGAGAUGAAAAUGACCCCGAGCAAAAUACCUCACCUGCAGAUGACAACCCAACAAAACCAGCUGCGAAGCGACAACAGAUCACGUCGCAUUCCCCUCCACAGGGCAACUAACUUACAAUUGAUCGAUCAUCAAUCAUCACUUUUGGAUGUUAAAAGGCUUUCAAUCUCUCGUUGGCUUCCAUUGCCUCUGUAUGUAUUAGCCAGCUGCUUAUAAGCAUUUUCGUGAACAGCCUUCCUCUUGACAAGUUGACGGUUAAGGUUCCUCUCUGCGUUCUCGAUCAUGGCUCGAUCAACAUCACUAUCUUUUUUUUCAUGAUCUCUUGUUCAUUAUAUAGUUCUCUGCUUAUGCGAUUAUUAACAA